AGUGCGCAGGCGUCAGACGCUCAGGGCCUGCGAGAGCGAGCUGAGUGGUCCCAGGGUCUACCCCUGGCAGGAGAGAGGGUGGGACCCGCCGGCCAGGCAGGAGGUGACAGACACAUUCUGGUUUCAAAUUGAACAGCAUGCAUUGAUCUUGAGCCGCAUCUGUGUGAUUCUGGGUCACUACUUUUGGCUUUUGAAUAGUUACGAUGAGUGCUUGCAAGAAAAAGGAAGCUAUCACUUAAAAGUAAAAAACAGUUGUUCACCUGAGAUGAAUAGAUUCCAUGUGGAUGGGCUUCUUGUAUAUUAAACUUAUGACAUUUUAUAUGUGUUGAUAUGUGAUUUUUUUAAAAAAAGUAUAGGCAGCUUUUCAGAUUCACAAAGAGGUACUUUAAGCUAAAAAAGGUUAAGACCAUCAGAAACGUAGACUGCAGGAACUGAGAAGGAUUUGUUAGAAUACUAUGUGAUAUAAUUAGUAUAAAAAUAGUAUAUAUUUUAUAGAGGGAUACACACAAAACUCCUGCUAAUGGUAACCUUUAGGGAGAGAAGAGAGGAUUUAGGGUAAAGGGGGAGAAGUAAAUGUCAAAGGGAACUUAAGCAUUAUAGGUCAUUUCUCUCCCUCUCUCUCUGUUUUUGUUUGUUUGUUUGUUUUUGUUUUUGUUUUUGUUUUGAGACAGAGUCUCACUCUGUCGCCCGGGCUGGAGUGCAGUGGUGCGCUCUCAGCUCACUGCAACCUCCGCUUCCCGGGUUCAAGUGAUUCUCCUGCCUCAGCCUCCCGAGUAGCUGGGAUUACAGGCGCCUGCCACUACGCCCAGCUAAUUUUUUGUAUUUUUAGUGGAGACAGGGUUUCACCAUUUUAGCCAGGCUGGUCUCGAACUCCUGACCUCGUGAUUUGCCCACCUUGGCCUCCCAAAGUGCUGGGAUGACAGACGUGAGCUACCGCGCCCGGCCUCUCUCUCUCUUUUAGCAAGGUAGCAUCACUCAUAUAUUUAAAAUUUAAUUUUAAAAUAUAAAAGUCAAUAGAGACGUUGGUUUUGGAGCAAGGAAGUGAGCCAAGGAACCUAAACUGUGGAAGCAGACAAAAUCCAGAAAAACUUACACCUUAGGAAGACUGCAGAGAGAAGGGAAUAGUAAGGCAACAAGUUUUCAUAGGCCUGAGGUGUCUUGUUUGUUUAUGAAAUGCCAGUUUCAUAUUUAUGUCCUUAUAACCCAUUUUGACCUUGCUGACCUUUAAGGAUUAGUUAUCUCUUCAGCCCAGUUACUGGAUUCAGCUCCGUUAUAGUGUCUGACCCUGGACAGCAUUGGUAAGUAUGUUCUCUUUCCUGGCACUGGAUUAUUUUCUUUGAGAGUCUUUGUUGAUGUUGGCAAAUGAUUUUGAACUUCUUCCAACAGAUUAGGUUUAUGCCAGUACGUAUGAGUCUAGCAUUUAAUCAGCAAUCCCAAAAAAGUAUCUGAGGCACUCUGAUAUAAUUACUUUUCCCUAAGUGUUUAUUUUGAAAAAUGUUAAAGCUACAGGAAAAUUAAAAGAAUAAUGAUUUGCACUGUGUAUCCUUUACUUAGAUUCACCAGUUUUUAACAUUUUGGACCAUUUGCUUAAUCUCUGUCUGCAUGUAUUUACAUAUUUUUGUUUAUUUUUUGUUCACCAUUUAUGGGUAAGCUGCAGAUAUUAUAUAUUUCACCAUUGAGGAUUUCAGCACGCAUCUCGAAGAACAAGGUUGUUCUCCUGCAUAACCUCGAUAUCAUGAAUAUACAUAUAAAUUUUAACAAUGAUUCAUAAUAUUAUCUAAUAUAUAGUCCACAUUUAAAUUGCCCUAGUGUUUCCCAAAUGUCUGAUAUGUGUAUUUAAAAUAUCCAUCCUGGUCCCAAUUAAGGUCACACAUUACAGUAGGUGGGCCUAUCUUUUUAAUUUCUUUAAUCUAGAACAGCAUUCCCCCAGCCUGUUUUUGUAUUUCAUGACAUUUUUUAAGAGUUGAAGGGUCCAGAAUAUUUGUCUUGUAGAAUGCCUAACAUUCUGGAUUUGUUUGAUUGCUCUGUCAUAAUUAGGUUAAGUUUAAAUAUAUUUGGCAAGAAAACUAUGAAUGCUGGUGUGUUCUUCCUAUUGCAUCAUAUUAAGUGACACAUAAUUUCAGUUUGAUCCAUUACCAAUGAUACUAAAUUUUAUUACUUUGGUUCAAGGAGAUGUGCACCUGAUUUCUUCAUGGUAAAAAAAUACCUUUUUUUCUUUGAGGCUAAGAAGUAAUCUGAUGGGGAUAUUUUGAAACCAUUUCCCAAAUAGCCUUUUACCUGAUGGUUUUAAUAAUCAUUAAUGAUUCUUGUCUAAAUCAGUUAUUAAGUUAGGAGUUGCAAAAUGGUGAUUUUUAAUUUUACCAUUCCUUCUUGUAUAUAAAAGAGCUUUGCCUUUCCACCCUUUCCCUCUAUACCUCUUUAUUUUUUCUCUUUUGAAUAUCACUAUGGCUCAUGGAUUUUUAUUUUUUGUCCAAAGUACUUUAGCCUGUUAUCAUCCUCUGUGUUGCUCAAAUUGUUCCAAAUUGGCCUGUAAGAACCCCUGACGCUGGUGCCCGUGUCCCCAUUUGUCUUUGAGCACUUCCUUACUUUUUGACACAGGUAUUUCUUUUUUUUCCUUUUUCUUUCUUUCUUUUCUUUUCUUUUUUUUUUUUUUUCUUUUUUCAGGCAGAGUCUCGCUCUGUCGCCAAGACUGCAGUACAGUGGCAUGAUCUCGGCUCGGCUCACUGCAACCUCCACCUCCCGGGUCAGGCAGUUCUCCUGUCUCAGCCUCCCAAGUAGCUGGGAUUAGAGGCACCUGUCACCAUGCCCGGCUAAUUUUUUUAUAUUUUUAGUAGAGACAGGGUUUCACCAUGUUGGCCAGGCUGGCCUCAAACUCCUGAUCUCAAGUGAUCCACCCGCCUAGGCCUCCCAAAGUGUUGGGAUUACAGGUGUGAACCACCACGCCCAACCUGGCACAGAUAUUUCGUACUUAUAUUGUGCAUUCCCUGUCCCAGACUUGGAAUUAGCCACUUUGUGAGGAGAAUUUUUGAGAUGAUCUUUUCAAUGUAUAUUCUCAACAAAGAAAUAGUUAAGUAAUUUAUAGUACACAGGGAGCAGAAUGUUAUGCAUCCAAUAAACUUAGGAUUAUAAAUUUUAAAUUAACAAAAUGAAUCUUAAAAUUUUACGCAGUAUUAUGUCAGUGACAUUUUUCUUUUUUAAAGAGAUGGGGUCUCGCUCUGUCACCCAGGCUGGAGUGCAGUGGUGUAAUCAUGGCUCAUGGUAACCUUGAACUCCUAGGGUCAAGUCAACCUCCCUCAGCCUCCCAAAGUACUGGGAUUAUAAGCAUGAGCCACCCUGGCCAGCCCUAGGAAAAGAAAACUUUUAAAACCACCAGUGGUAUCACAAUCAAAAGAUAAACACAUAUCUUUUCAAAUGCCAUUAAAUAUUUGUACAGUCAUAUCAAAAACAUCACUUACUACAUACUAUUUUGUAAUCUGUUUUUUUCAUGUUUUAAAACAAAAUAUUGCAAUAAAAUGCAUAUACCUUUUAAAUGUUCAUAAUAUUUAAAAAGACAUCAUUAGUAUUUUGAAAUAAUGACAGAAAACAUUUUGAAUAUUACAAAAUUAAAAUUUGUUAAUAUGAUGUAUUUUAAUUGGAACAUAUUAAAGAUUACAUAGUGUCUAUUGAUCAUCAUAAUCCUUUUUAACCAUUCUACUGUUGUUGGAUUGAGAAUCCUGAAAUAUAUAUGAAUAGUUCCUCAUUCACAAUGGCCAUCUAUGUCAUGAAUCUUGACCCUGGCUUUGUGUGAUUAACAAUUUUUCAUUGCAGUGGCCAGUGACCUUCAAGACUUUUCCUAAAAGGAGUAGAGAUAACUGAAUUCAGAGAGAUUAUUUACAGAUUUUAUAUUGGAAACUAGAAGAAUCUAUCUGGCUAGGGAAGGACAUCUUCUCCCCCAAAUUAAAAUUUACAAUCUGGAGUAUCUUCUUCCUUUGUGAAUCCUGUGGAUUCUGUGUGCUUGCCUGAAUUUUUGUCCCUUGUUCUCAGAAAAUAAUUAGAGCUUUGCAGAAUCGUGUGGAGGCAACUCUGAUUGUAGCUUUCUUUAGCCCUUCCUAGGAUGGCCUUGCUUCCCUGACAACCAUGGAAAUGGGUCUUAAUUCCACAGCCAGAGUCUGACCAAUUUCUUAUCUUUUACGAUAUGCAAGAUGGUUUCUAAGUUUUUAAGCCCAUUAUAAUUUCCUUAUCAGAUAAUGGGAAAGAAAGAUAUGGUUAAAAAAGAAAUGAAAGAGUCUUGGUGAGGGAGGAAGAAUCAGGUAGAAUGAAACCGUUGGUUUUUCAAGCCCAGUUUUUCAGUCAACAGAAAUCAUAUUUUACAAUGUUAUUCGAGUAUUUGCCUUAGAGGCUCCAGUCCAUUGGAGGAAAUUGAGUCUACUUUAUUAUGACCUACCAAAAGAAUUUAACCUUCACCCUGUCUUUUAAUUAAAUUCGUAUGUUUCAAAGAUAGUUUCUAUUAAAUAUAGAGUAGAUACAAAAUAAUAUUUAUGAAGUAUAUGUAUUUUUUUAAUUCUCAAUACAGCAAAAACCUGUGUACCAACUACCUUUUUUAAGAAAGAAAAUAUUUAUUUUUUUGAGAUGGAGUCUCACUCUGUUGCCCAGGCUGGAGUGCAGUGGCAGGAUCUCAGCUCACUGCAACCUCCGCCUCUUGGGUUCAAGCGAUUCUCCUGCCUCAGCCUCCCGAGUAGCUGGGACUACAGGUGCGCACCACCAUGCCCAGCUAAUUUUUGUAUUUUCAGUAGAGAUGGGGUUUCACCUUGUUGGCCAGGCUGGUAUCGAACUCCUGACCUCAGGUGAUCCACCUGCCUCGGCCUCCCAAAGUGUUGAGAUUACAGGCGUGAGCCACCACGCCCAGCCAAAAGAAAAUAUUAACUACUAACUUUGAAGACUCCUAGACAUCUAUUCCCAUUUCUAUCCCCUUUUCCUUCAGACAUAACAAUUAUCCUGAGAUUUAUGUUUAUAAUUCUCUUGCUUUUCUUUAUAGUUUCAGCUACUUACUCCAAAACUAUGUUGUUUAUGGAUGUUUUUGAGUUUUAUAUAACUAUUUCAUAUAUCAUUCUGUGACUCGCUUUUUUGUCAACAUUAUGUUCCUGAGAUUAAGUAGUGUAGCUAUAAUCCAUUCAUUUUUAUGGUACAGUAUUCCAUUGCUUGACUAUAUUACAGUUUUUAAAAUCCAUUCUCAGUUGAUAGAAAUGUGAGUUGCUUCAAAGUUUGAAUUUAUAGUUCUAUUACGAACAUUCUUGUACAUGUUUACUGAUGGACAUGCAGAGGCUGUUCUAGGGCAAGGGUCAUCAAACUUUCUUGUGCAAAGGGACAUAUAGGAAAUAUUUUAGGCUUUGCGGGCCAUACAGUUUCUGUCACAACUACUCAACUCUGCCAUUGUAUCAUGAAAUCACAGCCAUAGACAAUAUGUAAAAGAACGAGUGUGUUCUAGUGAAACUUUAUGCCAAGGCAGGAUCUAGCCUGUGGGCCAUAGUUUGCUAAGCCCUGUUCUAGGAUAUAUAUGAAGAAUAUAUUACUGAACACAGAGUACAUAUACCAUGCAAAUAUUCUCAACUUUACUAGGCAAUAUGCAAUAUUUUCCAAAGGGGAUUUUCCAAUGUAUACUCUUUACUAACAUUUGAAAUGCUCAGAAUUUUAAGUUCAGGUGAUUCUGGUAGAUGUAUAUGCAGUAGAAUCUCAUUUUGGUUUUAAUUUGCAUUUCUCUGCUUACUAAUAAGGUUAAGAUUUUAAAGACUUGUUUAUUGGCCCUUCCUCUUCUGUGAAAUGCCUACUGAAACCCUUUGCUCAAUUUCUUUGGGUUGUCUUUUUAUUAUUAUAGGACUUUGUAAAAAUAUUUUGGAUGUUUAUUCUGUAUCAACUAUAUGUGUUGAAAAUAUCCCAGUUUAUAGCUUGUCUUUGUUUACAAUAGGGAUCUUUUAACAAAUAGAAAUUCUCUGUUUUAAUGUCAGAUUUAUGAAUUUUUUUCUCUAUGGCUUGUACUUUCUUGCAUUUUAAGAAAUCCUUCUCUAUAUCAAAGUCAUAAAUUUAGCUUCAUAUAUUAUCUUCUUAAAGGUUUAUAGUUUUGCCUUUCACAAUUUUUUUUAUAAAAUCUCUUAGAAUUCAUCUCUGUAGUAAGUUAAAGGAGAGAUACAAUUUCUGUGUUAUGUAUGUGUGCAUAUACCAGUUGUCCCAGAAUAUGCAAAGACCAACUUUUUCACUUAUCAGUAGUCAUAAAUUGGAUUAUUAUAUGUGUAUGGGACAUACAACACAUAUGUAUGUGUCACAUAUGUUGGGAAUUCAUUAUUCAAUUAUAUUGGUCAAUUUGUUCCCUGUGCUAUUUCCAUGCUGUAGCAGUUUUAUAAUAAUUUUUGGGAUAUAACACAAAAAUCUAUUUGAGACUUUAUUAAUCCUCUCCAUAAUAUAACUAUUUUUCUAUUUCUUGUAUUGUUUUGGUCUUUAUUAUUUCCUUGCUUUCACUUUCCUUGGAUUUAUUCUGCCAUUGUUUUCUCACAUUUUUAAGCUGGAUGCUAGAUAUUAUCAAUUUUUACACUUCUAAUAUAAACUGGUAAGGUUAUAACUUUUCCUCGAGGUCCAACUUUAGCUGCAUCCUACAGAAUUUUAUAUACAGUCAGUCUCCAACUUACAAUGGUUCUAUGAUUUUUUUAACUUUAUGAUGGUGUAAAAGCCAUAUGGAUUCAGUAGAAACGUAUUUCAAAUAUCCAUACGACAAUACUGUUUUUCACUUUUAGUUCAGUAUUCAAUAAAUUAAGACAUUCAGCACUUAAUUAUAAAAUAGGGUUUGUGUUAGAUGAUUUCAUCUAACUGGUAGGUAAUAUAAGUGUUCUGAUCAUGUUUAAAGUAGGUUAUGCUAAGCUGUCAUGCUUGGUAGGUUAGGUAAAAGCAUUUUUGACUUAAUGAUAUUUUCAACUUGUGAUGGGUUUAUUAGGGCAUAACCCCAUUGAGUCCAGGAGCAUCAGUAUAUUAAGUAGUAAUCUCAUCAUUCAGUUUUAAAUACUUUUAAAUUUCUACUAUGAUUUCUUUUAACCAUAAAUAAUUUAGAAUUAUAUUUCUUAACUAUAUAGGUCUUUCUAAUUUUCCUUUGAUGACAUAUAUCAAACAUAGCUACUUUUGUGGGCAGUGAAAGUACGGUAUAUAAAACUAGUCCUUUGAAAGUUUUCGAGAUUUGCCCGAUAGGCUAAUACGUGUCUAAGUUUUCUAAAUAUUCAGUGUGUCUUUGAUGAGAAUUUGUCUUUUGCAGCUAUUGUGUAUAAUAGUAACUGUUUUAAAAAUACAUAGCCAUUAAAUAAAGUUGUAAUUUUUGUUGAAAUCUAUAAUCUUACUGAUUGUAUCUCUUUUAUCUAUCAUUUACUAAAAGAACUAUGUAUAAUAUCUCGCCAUAUCUGUAAGGUUAUUUUUCCUUGUAGUUUCAUUAAUUUUUGGUUUAUAGUGUGUAUUUUUAGUAACUUAAGCUUGCAAUUUUUAUAUCUUCAUGGAAAAUUGAACAUUUCAUCAUGAUGCAGUUAGUGAUCACUUUAUAAUAAUGCUCUAGUCUGUUUUAUCUGACACUAAUAUCACAACACUAGCUUUCAUUUGAUUAGUAUUUUCCAAAUGUUUUUUCUGUUCUUCAUUUUCAGUCUUUCUAUAUGCUUCCCUUAAUAUACUUCUUGAAAACAGAUUUUAGUUACAUUUUACUUAUUUAUCCAAUCAGAGAUGUACUGGCAUAUUUUUAUUUAUUUAUUUAUUUAUUUAUUUUGAGACAGAGUUUCACUCUUGUUGCCCAGGCUGGAGUGCAAUGGCACAAUCUUGGCUCACCACAACCUCUGCCUCCUGGGUUCAAGCAAUUCUCCUGCCUCAGCCUCCCGAGUAGCUGGGAUUACAGGAGUCCACCAUCACGCCUAGCUAAUUUUUGUAUUUUUAGUAGAGACAGGGUUUCUCCAUGUUGGUCAGGCUGGUCUUGAACUGCUGACCUCAGGUGAUCCGCCCGCCUCAGCCUCCCAAAGUGCUGGGAUUACAGGCAUGAGCCACCGCGCCCGGCCAUUUGUAUUUAUUUCUAUGAUUUUAUUUUGUGAUGUGAUGUAUAUGUAACUUUAAUGUUUCAUUUCUUUCCUUUAUUCUUUCUUCAGUUUGGUUCCCCCUCCCCAACCUUUUCUGCUACUCUUUGGGGUAAUAUGCAUUCUAUUUAUAUUAUUUUAGUACUUUUGCAAAAUAUUUAACAGGACAUACUUAAGUUAUCAAUGUGUGAACAAAACAUUUUUCCUGCCCAGCAAAAUAAUGAUGUUAGAAUACUUUAGCACCAAGCAUUGUUUCUACCAACCUACAUGCUAUCUUUGUGGUAUAAUCUGGUUAUAUAUCUAUAUGUAUGUGUGUGUGUAAGUGUAUAUAUAUAUAUACACACACACACUAAUAUAUAUUUUAAAAAUACCACAGCAAUAGCUUUUAAGUUGGUAGAAGUGAUUAGUGUUGAAGUAUGCCAAUGUCAUUGGCAGGAAAUAAAAAUACUAUUUAGACUUUGAUAACUUAAGUAUAUCCUGCUAAAUUAUAUUGUAAACAUAAGCACCAAAAUAAUGUACACACACAUAUGGAGACAUUAUUAUGUUUUAUGAGCUGAGUGUUUGAUUACACACCAGUUUACUGCUUUCUUUGCUUACCUCUCCUUCUUGCAUCACUUUUCUUCUACCUGAAGUGCAUCUAUCACAGUUUUCUUCAGUGAGGAUCUAUUGUUGAAAACUUCUGUCUUUAUUUGUCUAAAAACUUCUAAUUCUUGAAAGAUAUUUUUGCUGAAUGUAGAAUUAUAAGUUGAUAGUUUUGUAUUUUCACCAUUUUAUGAAAAUUUCCAAACAUGUAGAAAUUAAAAGAAUUGUACAAAAAUACCCAUACAUUCGCUAUCUAAGUACUAUAAUGAAUAUCAUGCUGUAUUUGCUUUACCAAAUAAUUAGCCUUGUAUCCAGCCCUGUAUUCAUCCAUAAGGAUGAAUUGAUCCAUUUUUUGUUGUAUUUCAAAGUUAGUUGUAGACAUCGUAUACUUUACCCCUAAAUACUUUAGCAUGCAUACCACUAACUAAAGUUCAAUAUCUAGUUACAGCUUUUUAGGUAAAAUGUACAUACAGUAAAAUUGUGUAAUCUUAAAUUUACCAUUUGAAGAAUUUUGACAGAUUCAAAUACUUGUGCAAACCAAAAUCCUGUCAAAGUGAAGAAAAAUACCAUCACCCUAGAAAGUUCCUUCAUGCUCCUUCCUAGUCAUUUCCCACUCUAUAUCCAGAAACAACUGCCAUUCUGAUAUUUUCCCAUUGUAGAUUAAUUUUUGUCUCUUCUAGAACUUCGUAUAAUUGGGAUUGAAAUAUGUGUUUUUUGUAUGUAAGGCUUCUUUCACUCAGUAUAAUGUUUUAAAAAUGUAUCCAUGUUGUAUGUGUGGGUGUUUGUGGUAUACUCAAUAGUUCUUAUUGCUGAGUUGUAUUCCACUCUAUGAUUGUAUCACAGUUUAUUCAUAUUCUUGUUGAACUUUUGUGCUAUUUCCAAGUUUUUGGCUAUUAUGAAUAAUAGUGUCAUAAACAUUCUUGGACAUGUCUGUUUAUGAACAUCUGUUUUCAUUUCUCUGGGGUAACACCUAGGAAUGGAAUUGUUCAGACACAGUGUAUAGGUGUAUGUUCAGUUUUAUAAGAAACUGUCAAACCAUACCCAAAGGGAUUGCACCAUUUUACACUCCCAUUAACAAAGUAUGAGAGUUUCAGUCUCCCUACCUCUUUGCCAACAUUUGGUGCUGUCUUUCUGGCUAUAUAUCUCAUUACUGUCCCACAGUAUUUUUAAUUUACAUUUUUCUAAUGACUAAUGAUGUUGAUCACUUUUUAUGUACUUAUUGGCAAAACAUCUUUCUUUGUGAAGUAUCUGGUCAAAAUUUUUGCCCAUCUUUAAUUGGUUUGUUCAUCUUUUUAUUGUUGAGUUAUAGAAGUUCUUUUUUUUUUUGAGACAGACUCUUGCUCUGUCACCCAGGCUGGAGUGCAAUCUCGGCUCACUGCAACCUCUGCCUCCCGGGUUAAAGCAAUUAUCCUGUCUCAGCCUCCUGAGUAGCUGGGACUACAGGCGCAUGCCACUAUGCCCAGCUAAUUUUUGUAUUUUUAGUAGAGACGGGGUUUCACCAUAUUGGUCAGGCUGGUCUCGAACUCCUGACCUUAGGUGAUCCACCCGCCGCAGCCUCCCAAAGUGCUGGGAUUACAGGCGUGAGCCGCCGCGCCUGGCCGAGUUAUAAAUGUUCUUAGUCAUAUUUUUAACAGUGUCUUUUGAUGAGUAAGAAAAACAUUUUUGAUAACAUUUGUCAAUUCUUUUUCUUUUGCAGUUUUGCUUUCUGUGACUUAACAAAUUGUCUACUGCCAGGUUGGAAAUAUGUUUACAUAUUUAUUCUUUCUAGAAGCCUUAGAGUUGUAGCUUUUUAUAUUAGUUCUAGGAUUUAUGUUAAUUUUUGUUCAUGGUGGCAGGUAGGGGUUGAAGUUCAUUUAUUUCUUUUUCUGUAUGGAUAUCAAGUUGUUCUAGUGCCAUUUAUUGAAAAUGCAAAUGGUAUUUUCAACAGUGGAGGUCUUUGGCACCUUUAUUGAAAAUUAAGUGACCACUGUACGAGUAUUUUCUUGUAUCAAAUUACCACAAAUUUAGUGACUUAAAACAACACAAAUUUAUUAGCUUUUAGUUCUGUAGGUCAAGAAGUUCAGACCUCACUGAACUAAAUUUAAAGUGGCAGCAAUGCUGCAUUAUUUUCUAGAGGCUCUAGGGAGAAUCUGCUUCCUACUCAUUUAGGUUAAUAGGCAGAAUUCAGUUUCUUGCAUCUGUAAGUCCAAUGUCUCCAUUUGCUUGCUGGCUGUAAGCCAAGGGCCAUUCCCAGCUUCAAGAGGCUGCCACAUUCCUUGGCUCACGGCCCCCUUCCUCCAUCUCAAAAGCCAGCAAUAGAGGGUCAAGUCCUUCAAACAUUGCAUCUCUCUGAUCCAGCUGGGAAAGUGUUGGGAAAAAGCUGAGGGUUAGGAGAAGCUGAGGCAGGGCUUGCAUGUCUGACAUAAUGUAAAAGAGUCUUGGAACAUGUCCGGGGUCCAGGGUCUAAAACCCCUUGUGGCCUUUGGAACACCAAGCUCUAUGCUAAAGGGUGGAAGCCUACCAUCAUGCACCAUAAUCUAAGCCCAGGGCAUAAAAUCCCUUGUGGCUUGGAUAGAAUCCAGGGCUCAUGGCUCUGGAAUGUAUCUAGACUUGCUGGCUCCUUGCUCCUUGCUCUCCCAGGAUUGAUUGUAUCUUGAGUUAAAAGAAUCUGCUCUCCAUUAUCUCAAGUAGAGCAAAUGCUAAACCAUCACAGCUGUAAAUCAUGUACUUAAUGCAAUGUGCCCUUUUGACCUCCACAUUCUCACCACCUGUUUCUUUGUUGGAUUACCAAUAAAUAGCAUGGGCUCCCAGAGCUCGGGCCUUCGCAGCCUCUACGAUUGUGAUGGCCCCCUGGGUCCGGUCCCACUUUUCUCUCUCAAA